AACGAACGCUGGCGGUAUGCUUAACACAUGCAAGUCGAACGAAUAACCUUGGAGCUUGCUUCAGGGAAGUUAGUGGCAAACGGGUGAGUAACGCGUGGGAAUCUACCCAUCAGUACGGAAUAACAUUUGGAAACAGAUGCUAAUACCGUAUAUUCUCUACGGAGGAAAGAUUUAUCGCUGAUGGAUGAGCCCGCGUAAGAUUAGGUAGUUGGUAGGGUAAUGGCCUACCAAGCCGACGAUCUUUAGCUGGUCUGAGAGGACGAUCAGCCACACUGGGACUGAGACACGGCCCAG
rnacentral:rRNA from 1 species